rnacentral:rRNA from 1 species
GACGAACGCUGGCGGCGUGCUUAACACAUGCAAGUCGAGCGGUAAGGCCCUUUCGGGGUACGACGAGCGGCGAACGGGUGAGUAACACGUGGGUGACCUCGCCCUCCAGCUCUGGGAGUAAGCCUGGGAAACCGGGUACUAAUACUGGAUAUGACUCCAUGACGCAUGUUGUGGGGUGGAAAGCCUUGUGCGGCUGAGGAUGGGCCCGGCGGCCUAUCAGCUUGUUGGUGGGGUGGAUGGCCUACCAAGGCGACGACGGGUAGCCGGCCUGAGAGGGCGACCGGCCACACUGGGACUGAGACACGGCCCAGACUCCUACGGGAGGGCAGCAGUGGGGAAGUCUUGCGCAAUGGGCGAAAGCCUGACGCAGCGACG